GAGCAAAAUCAACAGAAAAAUCAAAACCCAAACUUGAAUUAAGGACAUCUUUAAAAAGUGAAUUGGGUUCUGAGAUCCAGGUGAAAGGACAAAUGCUAAAAAUACAGUUGAGCAGUGAGCACAAUGUGGUAACAUUGCACAGGCAGCAAAAUACCAAAAUAACACCAAGGACGGGAGACUGUUUUAAUGUACUUUCUGGCAUGAGCUGAGGAUGGAGUGUGGCUGGAAGCAUUGAGAUGCUGCCUUGGGCUGACACCUUACAUUAAUCUCGUUAGGCUGUGAAGAAGUCCCUUGGAAACAGCAGCAAUGUUGCAGGAAGCAUAUGUGGAACUACUCCUAUGGGAGCAGCUGCUGCUGCGGUGGGUCAGUCUUCACAGGAUCGCUCCCUCAGCUGAACUGCGUGCUCAUGAAGGUGGAGUAAAAGCAAUCAAGGUCACCAGCAUCAUCCACACACUGACAUUUCUAUAGGCCUUUGCUUUACAGCUACGAUAUUAAGUAGUUUGGCUAACUUUUUAGAAAUGUUACUAUUUUCUCAACAAAAUGUCAAGUAAGUUUUCAGGGGGGAAUACUUCAUAACUGAAGUAUGUUUUCCUAAGGGCAAUAAACCGCUAAGAAAUGUACUUUUUUCCCACCCAGCCUUUGAGCCAAAACUUUCACAUGUUUUUCAAAGAAAUAAAAUUAUAGGUGUUUCUCUGUAGUAGGGUGAAGUACCACCUGGGUGGCAGUGGUAGA